rnacentral:rRNA from 1 species
GAUGAACGCUGGCGGUAUGCUUAACACAUGCAAGUCGAACGGACUCUUCGGAGUUAGUGGCGGACGGGUGAGUAACGCGUGAGAAUCUGGCUUUGGGUUCGGGACAACCACUGGAAACGGUGGCUAAUACCGGAUGUGCCGAGAGGUAAAAGAGAAAUUGCCUGAAGAUGAGCUCGCGUCUGAUUAGCUAGUUGGUGAGGUAAAGGCUCACCAAGGCAGCGAUCAGUAGCUGGUCUGAGAGGAUGACCAGCCACACUGGGACUGAGACACGGCCCAGACUCCUACGGGAGGCAGCAGGGGGGAAUUUUCCGCAAUGGGCGAAAGCCUGACGGAGCAAUACCGCGUGAGGGAAGAAGGCUCUUGGGUUGUAAACCUCUGUUCUUAGGGAAGAACAAAAUGACGGUACCUAAGGAAUCAGCAUCGGCUAACUCCGUG